GUGAAUCAUCAAAUUUUUGAACGCAAAUUGCGCUUACUGGCAACCCGGGAAGUAUGCCUGUUUGAGGGUAAGUAUUAACAAAAAAUCGGUUUGGUUGCAAAUUGUGACGUUUCCGGAGUUUGGGCGAUCUUAACUUGUGUGGUUAAGGGGCUUAAAAUUGACCUUUUUUGCGAAUUUUUAGACGUACAUAAAUUUUUUUUUUAUUCGUCUAUUGUUAAUGAAAAAAUAAUAUUAGAUGAGAUGACAGA
rnacentral:misc_RNA from 1 species